AUUGGAGGCUAGUUUAUUCCCACUGACUUUGGCCUGGCUGGCCAGUGGCAGCUUCAUUUUUAUUCUGUAUUGGAGUUCUACAUAGAUUUCUUUUUUUUAAAGUUUCACUGCUUAAUAAAAGGUUGACUUUCCUGACUGGGUUUGAACUACACCAUACUAACUAGUUGUAAUUGUGCGUUAUGAUAUACCUUCAUUCAGUGAACACUUACUGAUGCCUUUUCUUUACCCAGCCAGUGUGACGUUGAGUGGUAAGAUGACUGGGAUUUGGUACUGACUCUUAGUCUUGUGGGGGUUACUUUCUCCCUCAGGACCUGUCACUUUGUCAGAAGAAGACCUGCCUAAUUUUUCUUGAAACCUAAAUAUUCUUGUUCUGUAUUCUUAUUCUGUAUUCUGAGUGUGUACUUGCAAGUUGUUAAUAU
rnacentral:lncRNA from 1 species